rnacentral:rRNA from 1 species
UAGGAAUCUUCCACAAUGGACGCAAGUCUGAUGGAGCAACGCCGCGUGAGUGAAGAAGGCUUUCGGGUCGUAAAACUCUGUUAUUGAAGAAGAACGUGUGUGACAGUAACUGGUCAUGCAGUGACGGUAUUCAAUCAGAAAGUCACGGCUAACUACGUGCCAGCAGCCGCGGUAAUACGUAGGUGGCAAGCGUUGUCCGGAUUUAUUGGGCGUAAAGCGAGUGCAGGCGGUCUUUUAAGUCUGAUGUGAAAAGCCUUCGGCUUAACCGAAGA